CUCAAUUUAAAAAUAAAAAUAAACCAUUAAUCACAAAAUUUUCAGUGUGAGACUUUUUGUAAUUUAUAGUCAAUUUUAAAUAUUCAAAAUAUAACAUAUACGAAAAAAUAUAAAUUUUUAUUAAAUGAUAAUAUGUUUAUUUAGUUUAUUUUAAUAAUAUAACAUUAAAAAAAUAAUUGUGGAUAUGUAAAUUGUUAUCAAAUCUUUGUUCUUAAAAUCAGUAAUUGUCAAAUAUAUUCAAUUCACUUUUGGUAAUUUCAUAACUUUUAUUUAAGGAAAGAAAUAAAAAAAAUAUUAAUUUUGGAAUGUUAAUUAAUUUAUGGUUAGUUUAGUUACACAUAUUUUAUAUGUUUAGUUGACCAACAUAUUUUUCUUAAGGCUUUGAAAAACAUUUUAGUGAUGCAUGACACAUGUCAUAGCUAAAAUAUUGUAAUAAUUCUCUUUUAAUAUAUAAAGAGAUUAGUGCUUAGACAGACAUGUAUACCGAUUUUUUAAAAAUAUUAUUUAAAAAAUCUUGUUUAUAAACGAUUUACCGCUUAUAGAUAUGUUAAACCUAUAGAAAUUUUCUUAUAUCUGAUCAGCAUAAAAAAAUUUUAAAAUAUUAUUUAAAAAAUCUUGUUUAUAAACGAUUUACCGCUUAUAGAUACGUUAAACCUAUAGAAAUUUUCUUAUAUCUGAUCAGUUUAACGUAUCUAUAAGCGGUAAAUCGUUUAUAAACAAGAUACAUUUUAGUGAUGCAUAGCACAUGUCAUAGCUAAAUCUUGUUUAUAAACGAUUUACCGCUAAACAGAGCCAUAGCAGCUGAUCAGUUAAUGUAUGCUUAUGUAUAACUAGAAUAAAGAACUGGUUGAUAAUGGUCUGCUUACUGGGAUAUGAGGAGUCUCUAGAGAGCAGAAUUUUAAUAUAACAAAUGCAAAGACUGAAAAAAGGUUUAUACUUGCAAUCAGUGAAGCAGUUGUAAUUUGAUUGUAAAUAUAAAAAAACCUUAUAUAUAUAAAAUAUAAAAACCCUUAGAGAUUGUGCUUUCUCCUUACAUGUCUUAUUUCCUCACACAGAGAAAAACUGUAUUUUCAGUAUAUGAUAAUGUUAAAACUUCGAGCUACCACCUAAAAUCCCAUAUCUAUACUAUACUAAAAGGAGGAUAUAAGCUCCAUUGAGCCUAUCCACCCACGUAGGAUCAUAAAUUCAAGCCAAUCCAGUGGAUGCCAUGUCAGCUUAGUAAACAAAAAAUCUAACUUUAGGAUGGCGAUUCCUUCUUCCUCUUCAACGCCUUUCCAGUGUUUCUAUCCAACUUCUCAGCCGUUUCAAGUUUUCUUCUAUGAUCUUUAUUUCACGAUUCUGUUCAAAGAUUAUAUGGACCCCUCAAUAUAUUCAAGUUAAUUCAGCCUAAAGCCUUAAUUGAAACCUAAAAGCAAGAUGUGUUCACGCCGUCGUCUUCCUCGAACAUCUUCGCUCUAAGCUGUGAUUAAGUUAGUCGCUAAUAGAGGUUGUUCAAGUUUCAUAGUCUCUUCCGUCUGCAAUCAUGGAGAUAAUUACUUUCGUUACAUUUCUAUGUCUAUGUCGGCGUCGUUUUGUUUUCGAUUCAUCUCCUCUUAGGUUCGUAUCCCUAUUCCUAGCGGUGGAUCUCCCAUUAUAAAAGAAUUGAAAUUCGGCUGUUGAGCUUCCGUCGUCAAGGUGCGGCUGCUCAGAAACUGAAAAGCGUGACGAGUUGAUGGGAGUUGACAUAAUCCUCUUCGAUGAUAAGUCGACGCUCAUGCCAGCCACCGUAAUGUCAAUAUCUGAAUACCUUCCAGCACCACCGUCUCAAGGCGGGUACUCUGUUCACUGUUAGCGGAAUCGAGGACGUCUCAACCGUCUCACCACCUUUCACUCUAACCUUGUGCUCCAUCCUCCUCUCGAGUUCUUGCUCAUCAUGAUAGUGGAGCAUUACGUGGCUCUAAGGUGUGAGUAUUGUUGGGUACUUUCACACUAACAAGAGGAUUGAUGAUGUGGAGCUUUGUGGUGAUCACUUCUCUCGCUAUUUUCCUUCCUCACCAAUUCUGUAAAAUUUUGUAUCCUUUGCACUCGGGUACAUUAGUUGAUUGAAGCACUAACUAGGUAACCAUCUUAUGCUAUUUUAUUUUUGAACAACAAAAAUCUUGAAGCCUUAUCAAAUGGUAAAAAUCGAAGGAAUGUGAUGCAGGUUGGUAUUUUAACGAGGACAAAGUUUUGGACAACUUAGUAUAGCCUUUUUUUUGUUUUCAUACAGUUUUUUUUGUGUUCAGACAACUUAGUAUAGCUUGGAAAUGAAAUUUAGAAUUAGCCAAUUAUGUAAGGAAUAUUUAUAUAUUAAGGUCACUCUACACAAGUAUAUUGUUAUUGCUAUAUAAGACAAAAUAUAGUUAAUAAUAUAUGAAGUCUUAGAAGCUCGAAUUUUUUAGUAUUUGCAUUCAUUAUUUUUACUAGAUCCUCUGUUCGCGCUACGCGCGGAAUAUAAAUUUUAAAUAUAUUAUUCAUAAUUAUUAUUAAUAUGUGAAUAUUUUUACUUUGUAUUUAAUUUAAUUUUAAUGUUUAAUAGUAUCUUUAGCAGUUUUCUAUUAUUUUUUCUACGUUUUUGUUUUCUAUAAAUUUAGAAAUUUUAAAAAAUUUGAUAUAUGUACCACUUAGCUUUGGUCAUAUGAUAUGUCGAUAUUUUAUGAACACACUGAAGAUGGUAUUGAAAUCAGCUUAUCUUUUAUGUCAUGGAGGAGCGAAUACAAAAAGAAAUUUGAUAUGGAACAUAUAGCCAUUUUCAUGUAACUAAUAUUUGAUUUAAGUGUAUUUAUAUAUAAAUUUAGCGCUAACUAUAAUGGAAACAAAAAGAAGCCACACCCCCUUUUGCAGGUGAAUACUAAUUUUUAUUCAUUAUUUUUGAUUGGUUUUAAAAUAUGUAGUAGAUGGUAAAUUAAAUUGGAUUUUGUGUGUGUCUUUGUUGUAAUACUGGUUUGCAAUGUAUUAUUAUUUGUAAUCAUUUUAUUCUCAUGUGUCAGAUAUUCGUGUAUCCUUUUCGUUUUAAAUGUUUAUCUUUUGGUGAAUAAAGAACAUACACUUAUUUAUAAAGAGGAUAUAUAUAUUUCAACAAAGAGUAUUAUUUUUAUUUGAAUAAUAUAUGUUUCUGGUUGCAAGAAUACUAUAACAUAUUUAUGUAUAUGAGAAAAUGCAUUUUUGAAAUCAAUAAAUGUAACAUUUUAUUUUCUUCUAAAGUUAAUGUCCAUGUACAGUUAUGUAUUGUAUUUAAAUAUGAUAUUUAUAUUUCCGAAGUUCAUAUUCUUCUGAACCACAGGAUACAACUUAUUGUUUGUAGAAUUUUGCUCCUACUAUAAAAGUGUAGUAAUUUUUUUGAUUUCUCAUUUUUAAAUGUGUUGUAAUUGAUAGUUUUUUUUAAUGUAAUGUAAUUGAUAGUAAGAUUUCAUUUGCUGUGAACAUACAUUUAUAUAUUGUUGGAUUAACGCUUCUAAACAGCCGGUUAAUUGUUUCUUAGCAUAUUGAUUUCUCAUGUAUCACAUAAGAAUAUUUGUCAAGCUCUCUUUUUCGACUGCUUGUUUUAUGUGUUUAUAGUUCAGCUUUUUGUGGAUACAUGUUGUUGUUUAAUGUUUCACUUGUAUAUUAACGUUACUUUUGUUGUUAUUGUAUGUAAUUAUUUUGUGGGAAUGAUUGAUACAACAAUGAUUAAUAUGUGAUUAUAUGAUUUUUGUGUUAAUUAUUGGUGUUAACUUUUGGAGUAUAUUUAUUGUAGUUUAUUAUUUUGUUGCUGUCAUUAAUUGUUGCCUAAAUUCUUUAUUUGAACCAAUUUUAAAUGUUUUUUUUCUAACUUUUGGUUCAUCUUAGUUUCAAAAAAAAAACUUUUGGUUCAUCUUAUUUAUUUCUUUUUGUGUUUUGGCCAUAAUAUUUAUUUUGUAUGUAUGGUUCCAUUUUUUAAUUUUUUAAUUCAUUUGUUAUCUUUUUCAUUUCAGCCUCGUCUAUGUAAAGACAGUUUCCGGGUCUAGCUCUAGUAUUUGUUUUAGUUUUUGGUAUUUUUGGAAAAAAAUUUUAAGGUAGUUAUUUAUAUUUAUUUCUGAGUUUGAAAUAUUCUCUGUUGAUUCCAAUACCAUGGCGUUAAAUUUAAGCCGAUUGUCUUCAUGGUCAUUGCCGGAACAUUGAUUAGACCUUGAUUUUGUUGUAAUAUUAAAUUCAAUUUUUUUCAAUUUAUGUAAGAGAAGAAAACAGAACUGCUUGCCUAAACCAUUCAAGCAAUUAGUCCAACUUCUGUGUCUAAUAUAUAUAAUUAGUCAUGUUUAAGACCAAACAACAAAAACGAUUAUAAAGUAGAGCACAUUUGAAUAUGGUUGAAUGUGACUAUACUUUUUGAAAACUAAAUAAAUAUACAUUUUUAAAUCUGAAAACUAAAACAAAGUUUUAUCUAAACAAAAUGAAAAUCAAUAC